rnacentral:rRNA from 1 species
UACGUAGGCAGCAAGCGUUGUUCGGAGUUACUGGGCGUAAAGGGUGCGUAGGCGGCUUUUUAAGUUUGGUGUGAAAUCUCCUGGCUUAACCGGGAGGGUGCGCCGAAUACUGAGAAGCUAGAGUACGGGAGAGGAAAGUGGAAUUCCUGGUGUAGCGGUGAAAUGCGUAGAUAUCAGGAGGAACACCAGUGGCGAAGGCGACUACCUGGCCUGUUCUUGACGCUGAGGCGCGAAAGCUAGGGGAGCAAACGGG